AUGUGCACAGCCGGUAGCAAUUGUGGCUUUGUUGAAUGGGUUGAUCACCAGUGGCCCCCAACAAUGCAGAAUGCAUUGUUGAAGCUAUGGGCAAUGGUUGAAGAUGCCAAAACUGCUAGGGUGAAUGACAAUCUUGAAAGUUCUUUCACUAUCCACCAUCUGACAGAAGAGAAGAACAAGCUGGAUGCCAACUAUGACAAGCUAGUCCAAGAUUCUGCCAUUACAUAUCAGCAGGAGGUAAGAAAAGAACUGAUUGAUGAUAUGAAGGCACAGAUGGCAAGUGAGAUGGCAAAGAAAGAUGAAGAGACCCAGAAACUUACUCUGAAGUAUGAGCUGCUGCUCAACCUGACAAGGGCUCAAGCAACAGUCAUUCAGAACUUGAAGUUGAACAAAAUGAAAGAGAAGCAAGUGCUUACUGAAGCUAGUAUGAGUUUGGAGCUGAAGAAUGCAGAGCUAACAAAGUGUCAGGAGAAGCUCACCAAGAGAAGCUAG
rnacentral:rRNA from 1 species